rnacentral:rRNA from 1 species
UACGGAGGGUGCAAGCGUUGUUCGGAAUUACUGGGCGUAAAGCACGCGUAGGCGGCUUGGUAAGUUGGGAGUGAAAUCCCGGGGCUUAACUCCGGAACUGCUUUCAAAACUAUCAAGCUAGAGUAUGGCAGGGGACAGUGGAAUUCCUAGUGUAGAGGUGAAAUUCGUAGAUAUUAGGAGGAACACCAGUGGCGAAAGCGACUGUCUGGACCAUUACUGACGCUGAGGCGUGAAAGCGUGGGGAGCAAACAGG